GACGAACGCUGGCGGCGUGCUUAACACAUGCAAGUCGAACGGAAAGGCCCUGCUUUUGUGGGGUGCUCGAGUGGCGAACGGGUGAGUAACACGUGAGUAACCUGCCCUUGACUUUGGGAUAACUUCAGGAAACUGGGGCUAAUACCGGAUAGGAGCUCCUGCUGCAUGGUGGGGGUUGGAAAGUUUCGGCGGUUGGGGAUGGACUCGCGGCUUAUCAGCUUGUUGGUGGGGUAGUGGCUUACCAAGGCUUUGACGGGUAGCCGGCCUGAGAGGGUGACCGGCCACAUUGGGACUGAGAUACGGCCCAGACUCCUACGGGAGGCAGCAGUGGGGAAUAUUGCACAAUGGGCGGAAGCCGGAUGCAGCAACGCCGCGUGCGGGAUGACGGCCUUCGGGUUGUAAACCGCUUUCGCCUGUGACGAAGCGUGAGUGACGGUAAUGGGUAAAGAAGCACCGGCUACUACGUG
rnacentral:rRNA from 1 species